AUUGAACGCUGGCGGCAGGCCUAACACAUGCAAGUCGAACGGUAACAGGAAGAAGCUUGCUUCUUUGCUGACGAGUGGCGGACGGGUGAGUAAUGUCUGGGAAACUGCCUGAUGGAGGGGGAUAACUACUGGAAACGGUAGCUAAUACCGCAUAACGUCGCAAGCCCAAAGAGGGGGACCUUCGGGCCUCUUGCCAUCGGAUGUGCCCAGAUGGGAUUAGCUAGUAGGUGGGGUGACGGCUCACCUAGGCGACGAUCCCUAGCUGGUCUGAGAGGAUGACCAGCCACACUGGAACUGAGACACGGUCCAGACUCCUACGGGAGGCAGCAGUGGGGAAUAUUGCACAAUGGGCGCAAGCCUGAUGCAGCCAUGCCGCGUGUAUGAAGAAGGCCUUCGGGUUGUAAAGUACUUUCAGCGGGGAGGAAGGGAGUAAAGUUAAUACCUUUGCUCAUUGACGUUACCCGCAGAAGAAGCACCGGCUAACUCCGUG
rnacentral:rRNA from 1 species